GGGGACUUCUCCAGCCGCUUCUUCCCGGCGCUGCAGUUGGAGAGCGAUUCGCUCCGGCUCCCCAUGGCAUCGUCCUCCGUCGGGGAGCAGGUCAGCAGAUUGGAGAAGAGCCGUGCAGCAACCCCGAGAACUGCUCCGGCACCUGGAUGUCCUGGCUCUCAGCAGAGUCCUGGCUGCGGCCGCCGCUGCUCCUCCUGUGGUCUUCAAGGGGAUGAAAGCAGAGAGGAGGGGGGAAAUUAAAAACAUGGAAGAAGCAGUAAAAUCCAGCUCUCUCCCUGCUCUCCCUCAGCAAGGGAGGGAGAGAUCUAAAGAGAGAACAGUUCCGUAUUGUUCCGCGUGCUCAACUUGUACCCAAAGUCGUGGCAUUUAUGAAAUUCCAAACACUGGCCCGAUUUACGCAAUCU